CUAUAAAUAGAAGAAAUAGAAUAAAAAAAAUAUGAAAAAAUACAAACCCUAAGUUUCUCUCUCUCCCUUAGUCGUUUUCACUCCCUCUCUUAGAUUCUCUCCUCUCUCUCCUCCCUUUUCAUCCUUCGACCCCUUUCCCCUCUCUUCUUCCCUGAACCGUCGACGAGGCUGGUGGGCGGUCGGAGUGAAGGCGGGUCGAGCGUGUGGGGGUGUGCGAGUGAGCGAAGUUGAGGGUGAGGUCGACUGUGGUGUGCGACGCGAGGCUUCGAGGGAGUGCGUUUUGCGUGUGCGAGGUUAUCGACGAGGGUGCGAGCGAGUGUGCGUCGUCGUGUGUUCGAGUGCAGCGACAAGGAUCGGACGAGGGUUGUGCGAGAAAUCAAAUUACGAGAGGCUGUGCGAGACGAGCGAGUGACGGACGAAGUGCUGUGCGAAGUGAGACGAGCGAGCCUUCGACGUGGUCUGGCUGUGUGCGAGCCAUGAGGGUGCGGUUCGUCGUGCGUCGCUGCUGUGGUGGUGCGAAGUGACGUGCGCGAGGGUUCUGGUUCCGGAGGUUGACGCCGGCGAGUUUAGCGGUCCCAAUUUCAUAAGCGGCACAUUUGGUUAAUACAACGAAAAUUCUCCGUUACAAGGUGUACUGGUGCUGUUGCAUGAUACCGAGCAUACGGGGGAUAGUCUUUAGUAUUUGAAUUUGAAGCAUUUUAAUUAAAUACUAUAAAAUUAAUAUGAUUCACGUUUUGGUUUGUGGUUUGAAUAAAAGGGGUCGUUGAUGAUUCCCGAGUUGUAGUAACAUUUUUAUUUCCGCUGCAUUUCAG